rnacentral:rRNA from 1 species
AACGAACGCUGGCGGCGUGCCUAACACAUGCAAGUCGUGCGAGAAAGUUUCCUUCGGGAAGCGAGUAAAGCGGCGCACGGGUGAGUAACACGUAGGUAACCUACCUUUCAGUCCGGAAUAACCAGCUGAAAAGCUGGCUAAUGCCGGGGUAAGACCACGACCUCUACGGGGGUCGCGGCCAAAGGCGGCCUCUUCAUGAAAGCUGAUGCUGAGAGAUGGGCCUGCGCACCAUAGCUAGUUGGUGAGGUAAUAGCUCACCAAGGCUUUGAUGGUUAGCUGGUCUGAGAGGAUGACCAGCCACACUGGGACUGAGACACGGCCCAGACUCCUACGGGAGGCAGCAGUGGGGAAUAUUGCGCAAGUGGGGAAACCCUGACGCAGCCGACGCCGCGUGGGUGA